rnacentral:rRNA from 1 species
GACGAAGGGGGCUAGCGUUGUUCGGAAUUACUGGGCGUAAAGCGCGUGUAGGCGGUUGUUCAAGUCAGGUGUGAAAGCCUUGAGCUCAACUCAAGAAAUGCACUUGAUACUGGAUGACUAGAGGACCGGAGAGGAUAGUGGAAUUCCCAGUGUAGUGGUGAAAUGCGUAGAUAUUGGGAAGAACACCAGUGGCGUAGGCGACUAACUGGGCCAUAACUGACGCUGAGGAACGAAAGCCAGGGGAGCGAAUGGG